GCGGGAGGGCACCCUUCAUAGCCCCUCCCCUUCACGCCUCCUCCCCAGCCUCUCAUCCCCUGAUAAUCGAUGUCCUGCACCGUUCUGCUUUGGGGACAACCUCCAUGAACAUCCUCAGGUUGCUGGUAUGAAGAAUAGGUGGUUGGCUAGGAUUAGUAUUUAUGACUGUGAAUCUUCCUUUGAUGGAUCACGUAUAGGCCUGUACCAAAGGCUAGCUCCUGCGCUGGAGAGGUGAGCCGAGAGUCUGCUUUGCUUGGCAAAUCAGCCGGUCCUAACGAAAUAUCAAUCCUGUCUAGCAUGUGGGCAUCAAUUGAUGCCAUCUUGAACACUACACUACAUCAUCCACACUGUCUCUCAAAAUGAACGACAUUAUAUGUUUAAGUGCUCUGCUACCCACCCUGAAGUCUGACACCAGGGUCCUUGGACUUGGGUUAAAACAUCAGCAUGUUAAAAAUAGAGAAAUAAGUGUGUUUAUUUUUUAAAAAGCAUUGAGACUGCAGUCAAUGGGCCUAAUCUUCCAUCCAUUGGUGCCACUGAUUUCAGAUGGAGCAGGUCGUAUGGAAUUUCUGCUCCAGAUUCUAUGGGAACUUGGGGAAAGGCUGCAGGACUUUUUAAAAACAAAUUAACUCAAAAACAUAUUAAAAUCACUACCUUAUGCUUUAUAAAGAACUAUUUGUAUCCUAAGGCCUUGAUCUGGCAAAAACUUAAUAACGAGUAGCUUUAUGGAUGUGAUAGUUCCACUGAGUUAAAAAUUACCUCUCGCAUAAAAUGAACAUUAAAAAGAAAAGUUAUUUCUACUGUGAAUUAAUAAGCAGCAGUUCAAUUUCACUGCUUUUGUUCUUUGCUUGUACAGCAUCAGCGAAAGGUCCAUGAUUGCAGCUCUUGAUCUGUGCCUAAUAAAUAAUAUUCUUUUUGUUGUAUCUCAUUCCUACCCUUUAUCUCUUUAUUUGGACCCCUAUCCGGCACACCACUUAAGCAUUAGUGUACUCCCACUGAAGUUCAGUUUUUACAAAUAGAAGUCAAGAACCUUUUUUCAAAAAUUAAAUCUUAUUUUAUGUUGAAAACAAUAGGAAUGCUACAAGACAUCACAGACCUUAAAUCCAUGUUAGAGCUUUUUUCUGUGAAAUUGUACUUAUCUUCUCUGGUGCUCAUGACCUUGGUGUUAUCUUUUAAGCAUGCUGCCAGUCACGCAGGAAUCUAACAUUGUGAGCAGUCUAGGUCCAGCUGCAGUAUAAAGCAUGAAGCAACAGUAAUACAUUUCUCAAUAUCAACAAAACAACAGAGGCUGGUGAUGCUUCUAGCGGGAAAUACUCUAUGUUAAAUAAAGUAGGCUCUGAGGACAGAUA